rnacentral:rRNA from 1 species
GCGGACUUCGUCGCCGAAUGGACAAAAGCCAAACUCCCUAAAGAGUACGGCGCAUACUCCAAUUGGAUCAUGCACUUCGACGGCUCUAAAAUGUCGGUUGGCCUGGGAGCGGGUGUUGUCUUGACAUCCCCCAGUGGAGAUACAGUCCAAUACGUACUCCAAAUACUAUACACAGACUCCAACAAUGCAGCCGAAUACGAGGCUCUGUUACAUGGUCUUCGGAUGGCUGUCUCCAUGGGUAUUAAGCGCCUAGAAGUGCGCGGGGAGUCAAACUUCGCAAUAUCUCAAAUAAAUGGAGACUUCGACGCCAAGGACCCAAAAAUGGCAGCUUAUCGCAAUGUCGUUCUUCAAAUGUCAGCUCGAUUCGAGGGGCUUGAAUUUCAUCAUGUGGUUCGGGAAAACAAUCAAGCAGCAGAUAUUCUAGCCCGCAUUGGCACUAAGCGCGACCCUGUCCCACCUAACAUCUUCCGGGAAAGGCUUUUCAAGCCAUCC